AAUCUUCUCAAAUGUUCUCAAUUAUAAGAAAAAACAUAGUCAUGUGGGGUCUUGUUUGAUUCGUCUCAAUUAGUACUUUAUUAAUAUUCAAUCGUUAUAAUUUUUACUAAUAUAUAAUGAAAGAUAUUUAAGUUUUAAAACGUGCAUUGGCAAACGUGCAAAGUCAAAGUAGGAAUGAUAAAAAAAAACAGAGGGAGUAAUAAUUAGGCCUAAAAAUGUCAUCGCACGCAUCGCGUGCAUAAAAAGCUAUGUAUGUGUAGUCGUCAAUGAUAAUAACAUGAAACAUAUUUGUUGAUCAGUGAAAGUAGAAGCUAAUCAAGCAGGUAUUUUAUUUCUAUAAAGUUAUAAUAAGAGGAAACUUUAAUUUUCCUCAUAUAAGCUAAUCAAGUAGAAGCUAAUCAAGCAAGUAUUUUGUAAUUUAGAAAGGAAAGGGGGGCAAAAUAGUCGGUUCAAAAAAGGACACCGUUGCUCCCCCUUCCCUUAUGUAAUAGAGAUUUGAAACCUAUUCGUUAUUAUCUUUUGCUUUUAAUUUCUAGUUUUUCUUAAAAUAAGUAAUAGAGAUAUGAAAAUAAGAAGAAACAGUAUGAUCUCAAUUUCUAACAUAAACAUUAUUAAUAUACUUGUGUGUUGUGACGAAUUUUAAGUUCAUUAUGACGGGAAAUAAUUAUAUUAAAUGACUUCAAAAAUCUUAAAACCAAAAUUUUAAAACUCAAAAAAUACCAGGUGACUCUUAGUUACUCUUAAUCCAUAAAUUCUCCCAUUUUCAACUUUCAGAACUCUCAAAACAAAACUCUUACUUCCUCCGUUUCAUAAUACUCGCUACACUUUCCAUUGUAGAAAGUUUCACAUUACUUGCUACACUUUUUUUUUUGAGCAAUAAACUCUCUCUAUCUCUCUCAUCUCACAUGAGUCCCUUUUUUUUUUACUCUCUACCUCUCUCUUCUCCAAAAAUUGUCUAGCAAUCCGUAAAUUGAGAAGUGCAACGAGUAAUAUGAACGAAAAGUAUUUUGGUUGAGACUCCCCUUUUUAAUAUUUUAAUAUACUUUUCUUAUUUUAACUCUAGGCCUUAUGCUUCUUUCUAUAUCACUUCACCUUUUCUUUCCUAUUGUAAGUUUUUAUAGCUAAUACUUCAUCCGUUCUAAAAUAAAUAAAACACUUACUAUCUUAGGCGGUUUCAAAAUAAAUGGAAUGGUACUCUUUGCUAAGCUAUUUACUUCUCUUUAUCUCUCUUCGGGUCUGUUCUCCCCAUCUUAUUUUCAGUUCAGUUCAGUUCAGCUCUUGACAAUACUUUUACUCUCACAUAUCACUAUUCAUUUCAGUUCAAUUCAGUUCAGUUCAGUUCAGUUCAAUUCAGUUCAGUUCGAUUCUGUUCAGUUGUUUUAUGCCAAAGAGAACAGACCCUUCAUCACAUAGAUCCCUCUUUUUCGUUCUCUCUAUCUCUCUUUUCUCCUAAAUCUCGUAACAAGAUCAUACGUUUCAUUUAAAACAUAACAGAUGAAGUAUAUCAUUUUGACAAAUCAAUCCGUACAUUCAAAAUGUCAUAUUUAUCCUAGGGAUAAAGGAUAUACAUUGAAAUUGAAAAGCCAAAGGAUUAAAUGAAAGGAUGUGAUAGUUUUGGCAUUUACUCUAAAAGAUGAAUUACAAUGAGUUAGAUUUUUAAGAACAAGGAUGAGAUUUGUUAGUGAUGAAGCUUUAAAUUUGUUCCUAUGGUGGGCAUUUAAAUCCCAACCCUAAAUAUGCACCUCAUGUUUAUAUGCCACCCUUACCAUCUUCUCUUAGGUUGCUUUCCAAAAUUUGGACCACAUUAGCACUUCCAAACUUUUAUUUUUUUCUCAUGGACCACAACAGCACUUCUUAAUUCCCAUCUUUCUUUCUUUCUUUCUCACACACACAUUCUCUCUCCUCUCUUGUGUUUACAAACUCAGACCUGAAUCUCAACAGUUCUAAUAAGAGCUUCCUGCACACUCAUACACACACAAAAGGGUCCCCUUCAUACUCCAGCUCAUAAAUUAUUGAUGCUCCAUAAGGCCAUAAUGGCCAAUACCAAACACCUUUUAAAAUUCUCUCUUGCAAAAAUAUUUCUUUGGACUACUUAUAAUUUUUUUUUUCAAGCUAAUAUAUGAAAAGUAGGGUGCUAGAAUUUAAGUUUGUACUUUGAAAUAUAAUCAUGUGAAUGUGUAUGUAUGUAACACUAUUAUGUUUACUUGUUUGAGGCACUUUAAUUGGAUCGAUGAUAUGUGGUUGUGAAGGUUGGCGUAAGAAAAAUUAGAAAAUAUUUAUCGUAUAUCAAAUCAAUAUUACAAGAAAAAGAUGGGAUUUAUAAAGUAAUUCUCGAGAAAAAGAUAAUGACUUUGAGUAGAGAAUUGGACAAAUGAGAUGAGAAAUGUGUCACUAUGCGUAAAGGCAACAUAUGUUAACUCAGUUGUCAAUUCAAGUUUACUUUUUUAAAAAAAGGCGUAAAAUGAAUAAUUGUAAAGAAGAAAAAUCAAUCCUUACCAUUCUCCACCACAUAAGAAUCGGAUUCAGAAAAGAGGUGGAGAGAAAAUUUUCAUUGACUUUCAGAUAACGUGUUAUACCCAGUUUAUAUGGAUUGUCAAGUCUAAUGAAUAUCUUUGGACAAUGUUAGGUAUACAAAACGCAUGCAAUCCAAGACUUGGCCUUAUCAAUAACAAUAAGUGGGUCAUUGUAGGAUAAAAUCAUACACUCACAUCCUUUCACCUUCUAAGUAUAGAAUAUUGUAUGGGAAGAAACAAAGAUAUUUCAAUGCAUAUAUCAAUGUCAAAUUUCAAUCCUUAAUACUUGGAAGAAUAUGGUCCAAGUUAAGACUAUUCAAGUGAAAGGAUAGAUGCAAAACCCCACAAAGAAAAUCCUUAUAUUAUAGGUGAAUGACAAGAUAUGGCCUAAGCUUAGGAAAAUGGGGCAAAGCAAACACAUGAAAGAAAGAGCAAAAAAAGUUCACUUAUUGUGAAACGAAAAAGUAUAUGUGAUGAUGCUACAACCUGAACUUGUACCAGUACCAAUUGCAUCACUAAACAGGAGGCUGUAGGACAUGGUAUAGAUAGCAUUACCAAGUUCAGUUGGGGUACUUAGCAGCCCAUAUUCAGACGGAGGUAGAGAUGCAUUGACUUGCUGUUGUGCAGGACAAGAGGCCGGGCCAAGAAGGCUAGGAAGCCACCAGUAGCGCAAAGAGUUGCCUGCUAAGGAUAGGUGUUAGUUCGACUUUUAGCUACGACAACUGCUAAGGAUAUAUCGAUCAGCCACACCAUCAUGAAUAUUAAACACCUCGCGGAGUCACUUCAGUGGUGUCGCAUCAUGAAGGUUAGCAAGCAAGAAGUUUCUACAGAUAAGGGCAUUAGAGCCUGGAGGUGCGAAGGCCAUCACCGAUUCAGCCAACCUUUUUUGUGAUCACAAGUUUGAGUUUGUGCGCCGAUUACCCAAAUUGUUGUUGCUCAAGAUAGAAAAUUGUUGUCCUCAUUAUCCGCUUAUGAUUGGUUCUCAUUUCUUGUUCAAGACAAUUAUAAAUUUAGAUAUAAUAAUAUAACUAAAAAUAUUAACCAGACAA